CCCUGGGAGUCGAAGUUUCACUCACACAGUAAACAAACACUAUGGCGAACUGCUGGUCAAUUGGUAUCUUCCUAAUUAUUUUCCUUGGCACGUUUUGUAUAUGGAACUGCAUGACCCGGAAUGACCCGCCAGACACAUCUAAUUGGUACGGCUGCAGAGACCAGAAAGGAAACCCUGUGGACUCAUUUGUGGUGUACAAAUUACCUCGUAAUAAACAAGCAGAUUUUCAGCCAUUGAAGAAUGGAACUGCAUACAUGUAUCUUACCCCAGAAUCUGCAGCAAGACUGCAGAGUGGCGGUGUGUCAAGUGUUUUCAGCGAGUACCGUGAUUCUGCCAGUGGUUGGGUACUCAGUAAUGUGAACAUUGGUAGUGAAUUCUCCAUGCCAGCACGAACACUUAGUAGAUUAUACACAGAUCAGCAAAUACUUAAGACUGCUGCCUUCAUAAUGUACAAUGAUGAGUUUCCAAACGACACUGUGUCAGUUACACAUGGUCACACAAAAGGCGUAGUAGUGAUGACGGCCCAGGGAGGAUUCUGGUUGGUUCAUUCUGUGCCUAAAUAUCCCCCAUCCCCAGAGGUUGGAUAUUCCUAUCCUUCCUCGGCUCUUCAUUAUGGACAGACCAUGUUGUGUAUUAGCCUUCCCUCUGACGAGUCUCAUAGCUUGGGGUGGCAGUUGCUCCAGAAUGAUCCAUAUGUAUAUGCUUCCAAUAUGCCUGAGACGCUUUCUUCUCAGUUUUUUGUCUUACUGAAAGUGAUACAAGGGGAGAGGCCAGAAGUUUCUCCCUGGUAUCGUAUUGCAACGCUAACUUCUGUCAGUGGCAAGGUCUUCACCUCCUUUGCAAAAUACAAGAAAUAUGAUCAAGAUUUAUACACCAGCCUAGUGGCUCCAAUGUUGGAGACAAAUAUCGUGGUAGAGAGCUGGAGAAAUGGACCUCAGCCCCUACCAUCUUCGUGUAACACAACAUACACCGUGGAAAAUGUGGAGAGCGUAUCGGCACGGGCAGCAUCUACCAGCUUCACCACCUCACAUGAUCACAGCAAAUGGGUAGUGACCUCGGAGCCUGAUAAACCCUAUGUUUGCAUUGGUGACAUUAAUAGAAUGGAAGCUCAGUUUCAUCGUGCAGGAGGCACUGUGUGCAUGCAGAGCUUGAGCAUUUGGCAUCGAUUCCAUAAUCUUGUGCAAGCUGUUGAAGGUUGCCCUAAGGCAGUGUAAGGAAGGAAGGAUUAAAGAAUUGCCCUGUCACAGCUGGUUUUGAGGAUAUAUGAAAUAUAAACUAAUAACAGUACCUUGAGUUUUUAUCCAGUGAAUUCUGUUGGUGUUCAUUUCAUUUUGAAAACUACAGAAAUCAAGAAGUCAAGACAAAACAGUUACAGAGACUCCACGGGGCAUUUGAUGAACUGGAAUGAGGCACAACUCGUUCUCACCGAACCAGACCUCAGACGCCGAUGGUGCCUAGAAGCCUCACUAAUCGCCGUCACCGACACUAUAGAACGUAACACUGGAAACCACAAAAAUUCAAAAACAUUGGCAUGCAUGAUACUUAAGCACCACCAACCCAACAACACAGGAGUCACAUGAUUUCAUCGUCUACCCGUCCUCAUCCCAACAUGACAUUCUUCAGGUCACCAUGUGUCAUUCACACCUCACUCUCCGCCUAUAUAUAUAAUGUCUUUCUGCCUCUAUGUUAGGAGUGAUCAAAGUCCCAGGACUGAAACGUUUUCUAAUAAAUAUGUCAUAGUGUUUGCUUAUGUGUCUUUCUAAACCAAGGUGGAUAGGGAAGCAAUGUGGCAGAUGUUGCAAGUGUAUGGAAUAGGUGGUAGGUUACUGAAAUCAGUUAAGAGUCUUUAUGAGGAUAGUGAGGCUCAGGUUAGAGUAUGUAGGGGAGAGAGAGAGAAAGAGAGAUAUGGAUAUAGAUAGAUAUAGAUAGAUAUAGAUAUAGAUAGAUAUAGAUUUAGAUAUAGAUAUAGAUAUAGAUAGAUAUAGAUAGAUAGAUAUAGAUAUAGAUAGAGAUACUGAGAUAGAGAUAUUGAGAUAGAGAUUAUUUCCCAUUAAAGUAAGCCUUAGACAGGAGUGCAUGAUGUCUCCAUGUUUGUUCAGUAUAUUUAUAGGUGUUGGGAAGAGGUGUGGGAUUAAAAGAUAAAGAAUCUAACAUAAAGUAGGAGUUGUCACAGUUGCUUUUUGCUGAUGACACUGUGCUUUUGGGAGAUUCUGAAGAGAUGUUGCAGAAGUUAGUGGAUGAAUUUUGGAGUGUAUAUAACAGAAGGAAAUUAAAAGUGAACAUGAGAAAGAGUAAGGUGAUGAGGAUAAAAAAUUUAGGUAAUGAAAGAUUGGAUAUCAGAUUAGAGGGAGUAUGAAUUGAAUAUUUUCAGAUAUUUGGGACGAGUUGUCAGCUGAUGGGUCUGUGAAAAAUGGGGUAAACCAUAGAGUUGAUGAGGCUUAAAAAGGUGUGGUGCACUGAGGAGUCUCUGGAGACAAAGAAUGUUAUCCAUGGAAGCAAAGAGGGUAGUGUAUGAGAGUAUAGUGGUACCAACACUCUUUAUGAGUGUGAAGCAUGGAUGGAAAAUGUUGCAACAAGGAGAAGGCUGGAGGCAGUGGAGAUGUCUGAGGGCAAUGUCUGGUGUGGAUAUUAUUCAGAGAAUCCAUAGCUUGGAAAUGAGAAGGUGUGGGGUUUCUAAAAGUAUUAUCCAGAAGGUUGAGGAGGGGUUGAGAUGCUUCAGACAUUUAGAGAGGAUGGAGCAAAAUAGAAUGAUUUGGAGGGUGUAUAAAUCUAUACUGGAAGGAAGGUGGGGAAGGGGUCAUCCUAGGAAGGAUUGGAGGGAAUGGGUAAAGGAGGUUUUAUGUGCGAGGGGCUUAGACUUCCAGCAGGCAUGCAUGAAUAUGUUAGAUAGAGAGUGGAGGCAAAUGGUUUUUAUAACUUGACAUGCUGUUGGAGUGUGAGCAAGGUAACAUUUAUGAAGGGAGUCAGGGGAACCUAUUAGCCAGACUUGAGUCCUGGAGGUGGGAGGUAAGGUGCCUCUGCUCUGAAGGAGGGGUAUAUAUUACAGGUUUUUAAUUGCAGUGUCAGCAUGCCUCUGGCAAGACAGUGAUGGAGUGAAUCGUGAUAAAAGUGUUUCUUUUUUGGGUCACUCUGCCUUUAUUAACACACCAGCCAUUUUCCACCAAGGCAGGGUGGCCUGAAAAAGAAAAAAACUUCAUCAUCAUUCACUCCAUCACUGUCUUGCCAGAGGCAUGCUUACACUACAGUUAUAAAACUGCAACAUUAACACCCCUCCUUCAGAGUGCUGGCACUGUACUUCUCAUCUCCAGGAAUCAAGUCCGGCCUGCCGGCUUCCCUGAAUCUCUUCAUAAAUGUUACCUUGCUUACACUCCAACAGCAUGUCAAGUCCUAAAAAUCAUUUGUCUCCAUUUACUCCUGUCUAACACACUCACACGUGCUUGCUGGAAAUCCAAGCCCCUCGCACACAAAACCUCCUUUAUCCUCCUCCCUCUAACCUUACCUAGGCUGAUCCCUACCCUGCCUUCCCUCCACUACAGAUUUAUACUCUCUCGAAAUCAUUCUGUUUUGUUCCAGCCUGUCUAAAUGUCCAAACCAUCUCAGUAACCCCUCCUCAGCCCUCUGGAUAAUAGUUUUGGUAAUCCCACACCUCCUCCUAAUCUCCAAACUAUGGAUUCUCUGCAUUAUAUGCACACCACACAUUGCCCUCAGGCACGACAUCUCCACUACCUCCAGCCUUCUCCUUGUUGCAACAUUCACCACCCGUGCCUCACACCCAUACAAGAGCGUUGGUAUAACUAUACUCUCAUACAUUCCCCUCUUUGCUUUCAUGGAUAAAGUUCUUUGUCUCCAUAGACUCCUCAGUGCACCAAUACAAAAGGUUUUGAACUUGCAGACUCAUUAAAUUACACUUCUGUAUUUAAAAACUGAGUAUUAAGGAAUCAGUUUUACAACAGUUGAACUGCAUGUUGAACAUAUGUUAAAUAUAAUUUGUAUCCUUUGUCUUUGUUCAUAAGUUGAAACUCUUUAAACACAACAUGUUGAUAAGUUGGGGGACCUUAUUUCUUCACUGAAUCCAUUGACAAUUGAAAAAUGUGUAUGUAUACUGUAUUUUCUGCUUGCCUACUCUGCACAGAAGAAAAUAACUUGCAGUAGCAUGGUUGUAACAAUUAGUAAAAAACACACACUUAUGGAAGUUAAGAUGAGGUUUUGGUCCAUCCUGGACCAAUAUUGUCAAGUCACAACUGACAAUGGUCUAGUACACACCAAAAUAUUGUCUUGAACUUUUUUUCACAAGUGUGAAUUUUUUGUAAAUUGCCUACUCGUUAUUUUAAUUUUGGAUAUUUUCCCUAUUGCAUUCCUUAUAAGAAUUGUACCUGUGAUUUUUUAUUUGUUUUUUACCAUUUUGGCUAUUUCCCACCAAAAUAGGGUGACCCAAAGAAAGAAACUCAUCCAUUUUUAUUCAUUCACUAUCUCCUUUGCUGGCAGGGAUGAUUGCAUAAUUAAAUGUUCAUGGUUUCUCUUUUGCAAAGUUAAAACGAUGUGGGUGAUGACAAUAUUUAUAUUGAUACUGUUUACAUAAAGAAAGAUAAAUGGUCAUGAUCUCCAUGGGGAAGUGGAAAAGAAGUCGUCCUCCAUCAGCCAUGCUUGUCGUAAGAGGCAACUAAAAUGCCUGGAGCAAGAAACUAGUAACCCCUUCUCCUGUAUAAAUACUAAAUUUAAAAAGAAAAAACUUUCAUUUUUCUUUUUUAGGUCACCCUGCCUUGGUGGGAUAUGACUGGCAUGUUAAAAGAAAAUGGUCAUGAUCUUGAAAUUAAGUUAUUAAUAAUUUGCUAUUGUCAGAUUUUCAGUUGUUUUUCUGUGAUCAGAGAAGACUGGUGGUAAUGUACCAGUAAUUUUCUCAAAUAUUGUGCUUUCUAGUUCUCAGUAAUUUUGCUAUAUAAAUCAAAGACACUUACAAUAUAAGUGAUGUAAUUAGUAUUGAAAACAAUUGUUCAACAACCAUAAAUUACUUUCACCACUAUCAUGAGGAAAUAUUAUUUCAAAUACUGUUUGUUCACAUCCUGAUCACUAUAGUUUUUUUAAUGAAAUGUGGAUGCUGGAGGUUGAUGGUAAUCUGAUUGUGAUGCUGAUUGGAAGGGCAGUGAUUGAAUGAUUAAUGAUGUUUGCAUUUUCUUCUUUGGGUCAACCUACCUUGGUAGAAGAUGGCAGUUGAGUUGAAUAUUUGUCUUUUUUAUCUAAUCCUUAAGCUACAAUAUGCAUUUUGUCCUAAAAAACUGUUAGUAAUUUACCCCACUUAUGCCCAGUAUAAAAUAUUCUGCUCUGCCAGAGGCAACAUUAAAGCAGUGAGGAAGAGUAUACUGAUGGUAAAAUUAAGUGUAAUUUCCUAUUUGGGUUUGCUGAGGUGAGCUCUAGUUCUUGGUCAUUACUAAGGAUCACUACUACUACAUUUUCCACAUUUAAAAAGCCAUCUUCCUCUAUAACUCUGGAACAUUUGUAAACAUAGGACCUUAUUUUAACAUGGUAAGAAACUGACGUGUUUUCACUACUGUUGAGUUUUGGGUCUGAUGUCAAGAAAGCCAAGUUCUGUUCUACUGUUAUGAAGCUACACUUAAAAAGUUCCUAGUUACUCGGUUAACUUCAUAAAAGUAAAGAUGGUUAGGAGGUUAGAUUAAAGGACACAGGUGCACGCAAUGUGACAUUUUAUUGUGGCAAUGUUUUGCUGUCCAGGAACUUUGUCAAGCUAUUACAGCUUAGUUGUACUUGUGUCCUUUUACUUAACAUCUUGUCGGUAAUUCUACCAACAUUAAUACAUGUUUAUGAUGCAUGAUGUAAUCAGUGUUUGUAGUUUCAGGAAGCAAUUUAAAUAUUCCUACAGUUUGCUACUAUAUUUGGGAAUAUAUCUGAAUUGUAUAUUUUGAGUAUUUUGUAUCUUUAUAAUUAUGAAGCUACAAACACUGAAUGUUUUGUGUAUUAAUUGUUACUUUCACAAAAGUUAAAACAUGGAAUAGGAGUAAAUCUUCGAUAGCAUUGUAUCUUUAUGUAUAUUAUAUUACUGACACUAACCUGACUUAUAAGAGAAACUAAUCCUCAGCAUUAUAAGGAAAAUUUUAAGUUAUUAGAUAUAAUAGUUGUUUGAAUCUUCAGUGUUUGACAAUCCUUAAAUUUUGGAUGUUAUUUUUAUCAGAUUAUGUUUUAAUAACUUGUCUUUGUUAUUUAAUUGGAGACAGUUGACUUACGCUGUUCACAAUAUUUCUGAAAUUACGUUAACACUUUAAUGAAAAUAUUUGACAAGAUAAAAAGCUGACCUAGAGCACUGCCCAUGCGGGGCGAAUCUUACAUCUUAAUUCGGUUGGACAUUCAUAUGCAGUUAGAUCUGAAUGCCUUAUGAGAAGCUUAUUUGCAAGUACAGUUUGGUAUUGUCUCUUGCAGUUAGCAGAUGUAAGAUCGAGUCUUUGCCAGUCCUCACAGUGCUGAAAUACCCACAUGGGUUUAUCGCUUUGCAUAAAGGUUUAUAAAAAUUUGCAUUUUUGUAAACCUUUUAAUAAAUAUUAAAAAAAUGAAAUACAGCAUAAGGUAUACUGUAUGCAUAAUUAAAUUUUUGACAAAAUAUGCAGAGGCUUUUCUAGCAUUGUUAUUUAAGCCUGACAGGAUGACAACACUGGGUGUGAGCACUAAGGUGGACCAAAAUAAAUAUUAAAUUGGUCUGAACAUUUGGAUCAGAUAAUGGAAAAACUUGUAAGGAAAAUAACUAAGAAUGGAAUGUUGGGUAGAUAACUUUUGUGAUGGAAAAGGAUAAUGGAGUAUUGCUUGAGAAAGGUCACUUGAUGGACGAGAGGGAAUGGAAGAUACAUUAUGGUACAAACAAACCCAUGCAAAGAAAAUUAGAACAUAAGAGGAGUACUGUAUAUCUCAGACUUUGAGAUCCUUAUCAGCAGACUGAAAAUAUUUUGGCCUUGGUGUAAAGCUAAAAAUAUACAAUACUGUACUCCUCUUACCUUUGGUUUUAUUUUGUCCCUUUGGAUUGUUUUUACCAUUGACCAGUGUUUUAUUAAACUAAUGCAGUUGAAGCCAGGUUAUAUUGGAGAUGAAGCUAACUUGAAACAUUUCUGUUGUCUCACCAUUGGAGAGGUUCUCACAAGAGUGUUUAAUAAAAUUUCAUGACUACAAAUAAAUAAUGAAUAAAUGAUGUUAUUGUAGCCCAUCAGUAUUAUUUUAAAAAUCUUUGUUUGUUGUUGGAUGUUCAUAUAGUCUACUUAUAUUGCAACUUUUAUAAAAUUACAUAAAAUAUAGUGAACAUUUAUUUUUAUGCAUUCCUGACUAGAUGGAUUCACUUUGGCUAGGAAAAAACACAAAUGAUCAAAGUAUUACAAUAUUUUUCUUAAACUUAUAAGGUGUUAUCCAUUAAUGCAGGGUGACCCAGAGAAAACAUUAAUUUCUUUCAUAUUAGUUAAUUGACAGUGAAGACCAGUCCUUUACCCCUGGCAUUUUGGCCAUUGACAGUGGCUUAAGCUGGUGGGAGAAUUGGACCUGCCUCGCAUGGGCCAGUAGGCCUGCUUCAGUGUUCCUUCUUUCUUAUGUUAUUAUGUAAUAGAUACUGCAUAUAAAAUUUAUUGGCACAUUCAUAUUUAUUUUUAUUUUUCAAGACUAGUUAUAAUUUUUUUUUUUUUUUAACACAUGGGUCAUCUCCCACCGAGGCAGGGUGACCCAAAAAGAAAGAAAAAAUCCCUAAAAAGAAAAUACUUUCAUCAUCAUUCAACACUUUCACCUCACUCGUACAUAACCACUGUCUUUGCAGAGGCGCUUAGAUACGACAGUUCAGAAGUCCCUCCAAACUGCCAAUAUCCCAAACCCCUCCUUUAAAGUGCGGGCAUUGUACUUCCCAGUUCCAGGACUCAUGUCUGGCUAACCAGUUUCCCUGAAUCCCUUCGCAAAGUAUUACCCUGCUCACACUCCAACAGCUCAUCAGGUCCCAAAAACCAUUUGUCUCCAUUCACUCCUAUCUAACAUGCUCACACAUGCUUGCUGGAAGUCCAAGCCAUUCACCCACAAAACCUCCUUUACCCCCUCCCUCCAACCUUUUUGAGGACGACCCCUACCCCGCCUUCCUUUCCCUACAGAUUUAUACUCUCUCCAAGUCAUUCUACUUUGAUCCAUUCUCUCUAAAUGACCAAGCCACCUCAACAACCCUUCUUCAACCCUCUGACUAAUACUUUUAGUAACUCCACACCUCCUCUUAAUUUCAACACUGAAUUCUCUGCAUAAUAUUUGCACCACACGUUGCCCUUAGAUAGGGAAUUUCCACUGCCUCCAACCGCCUCCUCGCUGCAGCAUCUGCAACCAAGCUUCACCCCCAUAUAAGAGUGUUGGUACCACUAUACUUUCAUACAUUCCCUUCUUUGCCUCCAUGGAUAACAAAUAUUUAAAUAACAAAUAUUCUUAUUUUUUAUAUUUUUUGUUAGCUAUUCUUUUCCAGUUUUCCCAGGGAGAAUGGGCUAAAAUACUUUUGCCUAUUCAAUUUUUUUUUAUUUAUACAUCAGCCGAUUCCCACCAAGGCAGGGUGGCCCAAAAAAGAAAAACUUUCAUCAUCAUUCACUCCAUCACUGUCUUGCCAGAGGGGUGCUUUACACUGCAGUUUAUAAAACUGCAACAUUAACACCUCUCCUUCAGAGUGCAGACACUGUACUUCCCAUCUCCAGGACUUAAAUCAGGCCUUCCGGUUUCCCUGAAUCCCUUCGUAAAUGUUACUUUGCUCACACUCCAACAGCAUGUCAAGUAUUAAAAACCAUUUGUCUCCAUUCACUCCUAUCAAAUACGCUGAUGCAUGCUUGCUGGAAGUCCAAGCCCUUUGCACACAAAACCUCCUUUACCCCCUCCCUCCAACCUUUCCUAGGCUGACCCCUACCCCACCUUCCCUCCAUUACAGAUUUAUACACUCUCGAAGUCAUUCUGUUUCGUUCCAUUCAAUCUACAUGUCCAAAGUAUAAAAAUAAUGUAGUUUACAUGUAAUAAAACAUUAUUAGGUGCAGAAGAGAGCCAUAAGUUUUGCACAUUUAGAAUUAAACAGACUGGUGGAGUACACGUACAGUGAUAUCUACAGAGUGAUUUGGUACAACUGGUUGUACAAGGUAUGGUGAUACUGACAAGAUGUGGAAGAAGAUUCAUACAUUCAGAGGCAUUUAUUAAUGGAAAUGUCUUGUCAUGAGUGGCUUCUUCAUUUCUAAUUGAGAGAAAAAAAGGGAGAGGGAGCAUAUUUAGUGAGUGGAAACAGGUGACACAAAGCUAGGCGGUAGUCAACUGAGCAUAGAUCAUGUGACUGUGAGAGUUGAUUGGUGUUACCUGAUGGCUGUUUCCAGGCUGGGCAAUGAUUUAAUUGCCACAUCCUUGGAGACAACAAAGCCGCUUGACUUCUGUAGGACAGCCUUAGAGAUUACCAUAAUGGCAUUUCUUUCUGUGCAAGUCAUUUUCAUGGAUAACCAGCUUAAUAUCAUUGAGGUGUUCUUUGUUGGGUCUGUGACCACUGGUGUUUCUUAGAUUAUUAUACUAUAUGCAGACAUAUUGGUGUUGAGUCCUUAGUUCGAAAGACCUUGCUGUUUCAACCACAUACUUCUUGUCACAUUCCCCACAGGAUAUGACAGACUUUGCACUGGUGGAUGGGUCUGUUCUCUGCUUUUUACAUACUAAAUCUUUGCUAAAGGUGGAAGAGUUUGUAGCUAUGUUGAGAUGGUUGUGGGUAAUAUUAAUAAAUAUGUUGGACAGUAUACCAAGGAUGUGUGUUGCCCAUUUUCUGUAACUGAACAAAUGUAGAGCAAAAAAACUUAGUGCAUAAAAAGCAGAGAACAGAUCCAUUCACUGGUGAGGAAUGUCUUAAGAGGUAUGUAGGCAAGAUGGCAUGGUACCUUGAACUGAGGAUUCAAAAACUCAAAUACACCUCCAGCCAUGACAAACUAAGCAAAACUUGCGUAUAAUACAGAAACAGCAAGGGACACUUCAUGCAAUUUGAUGCUAAACUAGUCAUCCAUAAAAAUGACCUGAGCAAUUGGAAAGGCUGAGAUGGCUCCCUAAUAGCAAUCCCUAACACCAUCCCACAGAAGUUGGACAGUUUCAGCAUCUCCAAGCAUUUGGAGAUUUAAAUUGUUGCCCAGCCUGGACACAGAUAUUAGGUGACACUAAUCCCCAUCCCCCCUCUACACAUGCAUGCACGUGAGUGAGUCAAUCAUGCAAUACCCACUUUGUCAUGUGGCCCACUUACAUCUGAUGACCGUCUCACUUCUUGUCAUCUGUCUCCACUCACUAUGUGCUCACUUAUUAUUUGUCUAUGUAUAUGGACUGAAGAAGCCAUUUGUGGUGAAAUGUUUCAUUUUAAUAAAUGUCAUAACUGUAUGUGUGUCCUUCAUAUCAUUACAACUGGUUAAUUGAAUAUGAAUCAUGGAGGUGGGAAGUACAGUGAUUGCACUUUAAGAACUAGGUGAGGAUGCUGCAGUUCAAUAGGUUAUUUCAGUGUGGUGUUUGUACACUUCUAGAAAGACAGCCAAGGAGUGAAUGUGCUUGCUUCUUUGAGUCACUCUGCAGUGUUUGGAAAUGACCAGUUUGUUAUUAAAUAAAAUAUUCUAGCUCUUUAUAAUUUCAUAAUUUAUCAUUAAAGUUUCAUGUAAAUUACUGGUAUUUUAAUCUUGUAAUGCAGAAAUUAUUGACAAAAAGCUGUUGAGACAAUGGAUAUUGUUUUAUAGAUAAUGUGUUAAAUAUUUAUAAUAUUGAUUAAAUGUAUUUUUUUACAUUUAUAUCCAGUAAUGUAAAAUUCCAUGUAUAAUUAUAGUACAGAUGUGUCUGCCUGCAUGGUACAGCUCUAGUUAUUAUUAUUAUUAUUGUAAUUAUUAUUAUUACUACUACUACUACUGCUACAGUACAGCAUUAUUAUUAUACAGUAUUCACAAAACAUGCACUAAACCUUUGUGUGUCAUACAGCAGUUUUUGGUUUGUGAGUACAGUAUGGCUCUGUUUAUUGUUGAUGACUCCAGGUUUCCCUUCAUAAAGCUUGGUAUUAGUCCCAAUGGGCUCUUCAAGGGAAUUCCUUGAUGCUGGUGAAGGGCUCUUGAUUUAGCAAUUGAAGCAACCCUCCUAUUCCCCAGAUGCUAUAUAACCCAUAUGGGUGUAGUGUUUCCUCACAAAUGUCAUAAUACAGUAUAGUGGCCACAAAAUCUAAAUUGUCAAGCUUUGAUGGGAAAUCAAAGAAUUUCAAAGUUUCGUUAUUCUAUCUUGCAAUAAACAACCAAUGGACAAUGUUAGUGAAGCUGAUCAUACAUCAGGCAGCUUAUAUGUAACGUAGCAGGGACUUGCACUCAUCACUCGCCCUCGGUUUCCUUGCUGGAGUUGCUGUAGGGUUCACCUCCUGGUGAUUGUAAUAGGGCCUUGUAAGUCUAGUGACUCUUGUGGGUUUAACAUUUAGCUAUGAUUAUAAUAUUAAUGUAAGCCUGGUAUGGAAGACAAGGCUUCUGUUUUGCCCCUGCCUGGUAUGGAAGAUAAGGCUUCUGUUUUGACCCUGGCAAGAAAAGGACAAUAAUUGUGAGAUAACCAGGCUAGUUAAACUAUCGGAAGUGGCAGUGUAGAGGGUGAAGAAGGCAUCAGCCACUUUUCCCCUCUUCAUGAGGUUCCCAAGAAGAAGCCAGGUAUUGGAAGGCAGAGAGGGAGUGCUCCUCAGUUCUUUGUUUCAUUUCUCUACUGUCGAUAAUUUCUUUUGCUGGAAUUGGAGUUCUUAGAGGGGCAUGGUGUGAGGUGCUACUUCCUCAUUCUUGUCUGAUUGUCCAGUCUCUUAAAAUAUUGUGGUGGCUUAGUCUGCAUUUGAGGCCUUAUUAUUGUGCAUUUUGUUCAUUGUGGAUUAAAGGUGUGUUUCUUGGAGUAUUUCUUGCUUCAUCCAUUUGUUUUAUUAAUCACUUAUAGAAUGAGUUAAGCAGUUCAUUACUAAAAGUAACUUAAAAGCUAGUGCAGUUUACUUUUACUAACUUGAUGUAAGCCUGGUGUGGGUGGCAUGGGUGGGGUGAUGUCAGUGUGGCAAGAAGUGGAAUUUGGGGGUACAGGUGAUGUGAACAUGGCAUAAAGUGGAGUCUCUUGGUUGGUUGAUGUCAUCGUACUUGUUAGUGUGAUAUGAGUCAGGUGAUGUCAGCUUGGCUGACAUCACCUGACCCAUGGGGUGAUGUUAUCAUUACUUUUGGUGGUCUGUGUGGUUUUAAAGUACUGACUGGCACCCUGUGUCUCGACCAGCAUCAGGCUAGUUCAGUGUUUUUUGUUUACAUGACAUACUCUGCCCUUAAUGCAUUUUUUUUGUGUUAAACCCAAUGGGGGAGGGUCAUAUAGUGCCUGGGGAAUGGGAGGCAAUCAGGUUCAGCUCAAGGAUGGGAAAGACGAGUCCGAUUCCAUGAGUCAGAUGACCCUCACCAGCAUUAAGGAAUCUCCCUUGAGGAGGCUUGUACAUGAAGGUGUUAAUGUAGAACUUACAGAUGGAGGGAGUUAAUCAGGUUAACCAGAGAUAUGAGAAAAUUAGAGAAAAUGUUUAAGUUAGAUUUUUUUUUUUUAUCAGAGUCAUUGAUUUUGUUUUUUGCUUUUAUAUACAGUAUUUAAGAUUGUAAUGAGUUGGUAUGACAUAUUACGUGAGAGGAAGGAGGAAAAAGAUUGUACAUACCGUAAUGUAUCCAGUGUAACAAAGCAGAAUUACACUACACAGAUAACCCACACAUAGGAGGGAGAGACUUAUGAUGUUUCAAUCCAACAUUGAUCAUUAACUAGUCGCACAUUAAUGGUCCAAGUCGGACUGAAUUGUCUUCAUAAGUUUCUUUCUCCUAUGUGUGGGUUAUUUGUGUAAUGUUCUAGUCAUGAUAUUGUGCCUUUUUGUUCUUUAAAAUUACACUAGUUGAACUUGUCAAGCCUGAGAUUCCUGUAGAAUAUAUA